rnacentral:rRNA from 1 species
AUGGGUAUUUCAGCCAAGUGGAUUAAAUCACUGGUUCGCAUAAGAAAGCAGGAAAAGGGACGGAAUUCAGAAACUCAAGAAAACGCACAAAAUGCCGAGAGCAGUGAAGCUAGCUCUUCUGCUCGACAGCUACACAAAAGAAAGCAUUCUGUGGAUCCCGCAUUAGAAGAACUUGCAGUACCUAGUGAAGCAUCGACGGAUGGCACCAACACCCAGUUCGGUUCGAAUUCUAUUUCAUCAGAAAGUGCAUCACGUGAUGUGCAUGUUUCUCAGACCGAAGAACUUCCUAGAGAAGGGGAUUUGGCUGCAACAGUUAUUCAGUCUGCAUUUCGGGCAUUCUUGGCUAGGCGGGCUUUACGAGCACUCAAAGGUAUAGUUCUACUCCAGGCCCUUGUGAGGGGCUAUAUUGUGAGAAAGCAGACAGCAGAAACACUUCAGUGUAUGCAUGAGUUGGUAAGAGCUGAAGCUCGUGUGAGAGCAAGGCAAGCCGGUGUUGCAUUAGAAAACCAAGUGGCACGGAAAAAGGUCCCUGAGCAAGAUGAUUGUGAGAACCAUGUUCGAGAAAUUGAGGAAGGCUGGUGUGGCGGUAUUGGUUCUGUGGCAGAAAUGCAAGCUAAAGUACUGAAAAGGCAGGAAGCUGCUGCAAAACGCGAGAGAGCGAUGGCGUAUGCAUUGACCCAUCAGCGGCAAGCUGGUUUAAGGCAGCAGAAACCUACAAAUCUGCAAGGAUCCGAACUUGAUGAUGACCACUGGGGAUCAAACUGGGUAGAGAGAUGGGUGGCUGCACGUCCAUGGGAGAACAGGUUGCUUGACAAUAAUGCAAAAGAGAGCAUGCCAGUGUGUGAUGAUAAUCAGGAUGAGGAAAUAAAAUCUCAGGUCACACCAAAGGGCAAAGCGCCAACUUCAAGCACUCCUCCUAAUGGCCUGAGCAAGAAGAAAGGUGCAAGCCACAGGAAGUCAUAUUCGGAUAUUAAUUUCACUUCAUUUGGGCGAUCGUCAAGUGUACUGCCUUCCACCUCUCUGGGAACAUCCAAACAGAAGCCGAAACUGGAAGAUGAGGUUUUUGAGGAAGUCAGCUCCCAGCCCACAGAUAUAGCUCCCUUGGCUGUGCACAAUCAGAAAGAAAGGCGCGGGCAGCUGAAUACCUCGGCCAAGAAACGCCUGUCCCUGCCGAAUAACGUCGGCGGGGGAGCAGCAAAGGGGACAACCAACAGGAAUCCGAUGAACCGAUCGAGCAGUGCUAAGUCUGACCUGAAACCACGGGCGAACGCGCCCAACCAAGCCCGGAAGCAAGUCGAGUUGCAGGCCUGA